rnacentral:rRNA from 1 species
GAGCACGUAGGUGGGUUUGUAAGUCAGAUGUGAAAGCCUUCUGUUCAACGGAAGAAUUGCAUCUGAAACUGCGAGUCUUGAGUGUAGGAGGGGAGAAUGGAACUUCUGGUGGAGCGGUGAAAUGCGUAGAUAUCAGAAGGAACGCCGGCGGCGAAAGCGAUUCUCUGGCCUAUUACUGACACUCAGUGUGCGAAAGCUAGGGGAGCAAACGGGAUUAGAUACCCCGGUAGUCCUAGCCGUAAACGAUGGGCACUAAGUGGAGGGG